GAUGAACGCUGGCGGCGUGCUUAACACAUGCAAGUCGAACGAGCUCUUUCGGGAGUUAGUGGCGGACGGGUGAGUAACGCGUGAGGAUCUGCCCAAAGGAUGGGGACAACAGCGGGAAACUGCUGCUAAGACCCAAUGUGCCGAGAGGUGAAAUAUUUAUAGCCUUUGGAUGAACUCGCGUCUGAUUAGCUAGUUGGUGAGGUAAGAGCUUACCAAGGCGACGAUCAGUAGCUGGUCUGAGAGGACGAUCAGCCACACUGGGACUGAGACACGGCCCAG
rnacentral:rRNA from 1 species